rnacentral:rRNA from 1 species
UCGAUGGGAAACAGGUUAAUAUUCCUGUACUUGGUGUUACUGCGAAGGGGGGACGGAGAAGGCUAUGUUAGCCGGGCGACGGUUGUCCCGGUUUAAGCAUGUAGGCUGGUUGUCCAGGCAAAUCCGGAUAAUCAAGGCUGAGGUGUGAUGACGAGGCACUACGGUGCUGAAGUAACAAAUGCCCUGCUUCCAGGAAAAGCCUCUAAGCAUCAGGUAACAUCAAAUCGUACCCCAAACCGACACAGGUGGUCAGGUAGAGAAUACCAAGGCGCUUGAGAGAACUCGGGUGAAGGAACUAGGCAAAAUGGUGCCGUAACUUCGGGAGAAGGCACGCUGGUGUGUAGGUGAAGUCCCUGCGGAUGGAGCUGAGACCAGUCGAAGAUACCAGCUGGCUGCAACUGUUUAUUAAAAACACAGCACUGUGCAAACACGAAAGUGGACGUAUACGGUGUGACGCCUGCCCGGUGCCGG